GACGAACGCUGGCGGCGUGCUUAACACAUGCAAGUCGAACGGAAAGGCCUCUUUCGGGGGGUACUCGCGUGGCGAACGGGUGAGUAACACGUGAGUAACCUGCCCUUGACUUUGGGAUAACUUCAGGAAACUGGGGCUAAUACCGGAUAGGAGCUCCUGCUGCAUGGUGGGGGUUGGAAAGUUUCGGCGGUUGGGGAUGGACUCGCGGCUUAUCAGCUUGUUGGUGGGGUAGUGGCUUACCAAGGCUUUGACGGGUAGCCGGCCUGAGAGGGUGACCGGCCACAUUGGGACUGAGAUGCGGCCCAGACUCCGACGGGAGGCAGCAGUGGGGAAUAUUGCACAAUGGGUGGAAGCCUGAUGCAGCAACGCCGUGUGCGGGAUGACGGCCUUCGGGUUGUAAACCGCUUUCGCUCAUGACGAAGCUUUGUGUGACGGUAGUGGGUAAAGAAGCACCGGCUAACUACGUG
rnacentral:rRNA from 1 species